UCCUAGCUGUAAACGAUGGAUACUAGGUGUGGCUUGUAUCGACCCAAGCCGUGCCGUAGCUAACGCGUUAGGUAUCCCGCCUGGGGAGUACGCGCGCAAGCGUGAAACUCAAAGGAAUUGACGGGGGCCCGCACAAGCGGUGGAGUAUGUGGUUUAAUUCGAUGCAACGCGAAGAACCUUACCAGGGCUUGACAUGUCCGGAGCCACUAGGAAACUAGUGGGUGCCUUCGGGAACCGGAGCACAGGUGGUGCAUGGCUGUCGUCAGCUCGUGUCGUGAGAUGUUGGGUUAAGUCCCGCAACGAGCGCAACCCUCGUUCUUAGUUGCCAUCAUUCAGUUGGGCACUCUAGGGAGACUGCCGGUGACAAACCGGAGGAAGGUGGGGAUGACGUCAAGUCAUCAUGCCCCUUACGUCCUGGGCUACACACGUACUACAAUGGUUGGGACAGAGGGUCGCGAGCCUGCGAAGGCAAGCUAAUCCCAUAAACCCAGCCUCAGUUCAGAUUGCAGGCUGCAACUCGCCUGCAUGAAGGAGGAAUCGCUAGUAAUCGCAGGUCAGCAUACUGCGGUGAAUACGUUCCCGGGCCUUGUACACUCCGCC
rnacentral:rRNA from 1 species